AGAAAGCAAGAUUAGAGAGAGAAAGAGAAGAGGGAAAAAGAGAGCAAAAGGAAGAAACCCAAUAAAUGUGGGGGAAGUUGAUGAAAAUUGGGAGUUUUUCCUUAAGAAAACUCUACCCAAAUUGUGAGAGGAAGAGUGAUGUGGGAGGGUAUGGGAAAGAUCAAAUCUACUCCUAAAACCUACUAAACGUAUGCAAUAUUGAAACUAUAACCACCUAGAAUUAAACCCCUCCCUCUAAUUAAAUCUACAAUCCUAAAAGAAAGUAAGAAUAAAGACUAGGGAAAUAAAACAAUGAAAGAAAAAAUGCUACAAACUUACUGAUAAGUUGAUCCCCACUCUUUGGCUCAACAAGACUUCUGAAGUCUCCUAUUU
rnacentral:lncRNA from 1 species